rnacentral:rRNA from 1 species
CAGUCGCCACGGUAAUACGUAGGGUGCAAGCGUUAAUCGGAAUUACUGGGCGUAAAGCGUGCGCAGGCGGUUAUAUAAGACAGAUGUGAAAUCCCCGGGCUCAACCUGGGAACUGCAUUUGUGACUGUAUAGCUAGAGUACGGCAGAGGGGGAUGGAAUUCCGCGUGUAACAGUGAAAUGCGUAGAUAUGCGGAGGAACACCGAUGGCGAAGGCAAUCCCCUGGGCCUGUACUGACGCUCAUGCACGAAAGCGUGGGGAGCAAACAGGAUUAGAUACCCGCGUAGUCCCUGUCUCUUAUAC